CCUACGGGUGGCAGCAGUGAGGAAUAUUGGUCAAUGGGCGGAAGCCUGAACCAGCCAAGUCGCGUGAGGGAAUAAGGCCCUACGGGUCGUAAACCUCUUUUGCCGGGGAGCAAGGGCGGGGACGUGUCCCGUCCCGGAGAGUACCCGGAGAAAAAGCAUCGGCUAACUCCGUGCCAGCAGCCGCGGUAAUACGGAGGAUGCGAGCGUUAUCCGGAUUUAUUGGGUUUAAAGGGUUCGUAGGCGGGAUUUUAAGUCAGCGGUAAAAAUUCGGGGCUCAACCCCGUCCGGCCGUUGAAACUGGGGGCCUUGAGUGGGCGAGAAGAAGGCGGAAUGCGUGGUGUAGCGGUGAAAUGCAUAGAUAUCACGCAGAACCCCGAGUGCGAAGGCAGCCUUCCGGCGCCCUACUGACGCUGAGGCACGAAAGUGCGGGGAUCGAACAGGAUUAGAUACCCCAGUAGUC
rnacentral:rRNA from 1 species